rnacentral:rRNA from 1 species
AAGAAGGCCUUCGGGUUGUAAAGCUCUUUUGUCAGGGAAGAAACACAGGCUCUAACACAGACUGNGAAUGACGGUACCUGAAGAAUAAGCACCGGCUAACUACGUGCCAGCAGCCGCGGUAAUACGUAGGGUGCGAGCGUUAAUCGGAAUUACUGGGCGUAAAGCGUGCGCAGGCGGUUAUACAAGACAGGCGUGAAAUCCCCGGGCUUAACCUGGGAAUGGCGUCUGUGACUGUAUAGCUAGAGUGUGUCAGAGGGGGGUGGAAUUCCACGUGUAGCAGUGAAAUGCGUAGAUAUGUGGAGGAACACCAAUGGCGAAGGCAGCCCCCUGGGAUAACACUGACGCUCAUGCACGAAAGCGUGGGGAGCAAACAGGAUUAGAUACCCUGGUAGUCCACGCCCUAAACG